AGUGAACGCUGGCGGUAGGCCUAACACAUGCAAGUCGAACGGCAGCACAGUAAGAGCUUGCUCUUACGGGUGGCGAGUGGCGGACGGGUGAGGAAUACAUCGGAAUCUACUUUUUCGUGGGGGAUAACGUAGGGAAACUUACGCUAAUACCGCAUACGACCUACGGGUGAAAGCAGGGGAUCUUCGGACCUUGCGCGAUUGAAUGAGCCGAUGUCGGAUUAGCUAGUUGGCGGGGUAAAGGCCCACCAAGGCGACGAUCCGUAGCUGGUCUGAGAGGAUGGUCGGCGCAGCUGGAGCGGAGGACGGGGCCAGGCUCGGAGGGGGGGCGGGAGGGGGGAAGUUUGGACAGGGGGGGCAAGGCUGACCCAGCCAGAGCGGGGGGGUGAAGAAGGCCUUCGGGGUGGAAAGCCCUUUUUGGGGGAAAAAAAAGCAGCGGGUUGAAACCCGGCUGUGCUGGGGGGACCCAAAGAAGAAGCAGGGGCAAACUGCGU
rnacentral:rRNA from 1 species